AGAUCAUUUGAGCAAACUCUCAACUCAGCAUUGUUUUCUUGAAAAGGUAGGAAUAUUCAGUACCAACCUUCUCUAGAAACAACAUUAUUAUGUGGAGACCUGAACCAGGAGUAUCUUAUUUUUUUCUAUAUGGAAACCCUUGAGAAUGAAGACACCGGAGGAAUAUAUCAAACCUUGCUGUGCCAAGGCCCCGUGGAACUCACAAGGGGGAAGAAAAGGAACAAAAGGCAUCUAUCCUUAUUUAAUGAUGUUUUGGUUGUGUCUAAUAACCUGAAUAAGAAAAGGUUUAAGAUAAACUGUAUCAUCCCACUGAAUUACCUGUGCGCAGUGGAUGAUAUGGACCUAGACAACAUGAAUGAAAUGUGUACUUGCAAGACCAUUUACCUGUUUUGGCCCACCAGAAAUUUUUUUGGCCAUCUUUUGAUCCAUUGAUGAAGCCAAGAAGGAUAUCAAGAAAAAUUUCUCAUUGCAGAUAUUCACCGAAGACAUCCCAAGCUGUGACAGUAACAGUGAAGCUUACCAACUGUGGUUCUGUCCUGGCCAUGAGGAAGCUUCAAGAGCACUCCAAGGCUAUGAGUAUUUACAUGAUAUUAUAAUUACCAACCUUCAAAAUACCUUCAGUAGAUUGAACUCAAGAUUUUUCACUUGCCUGGGUUGUUUGUGAAAGACCUAAACUCGGAUGCACAGGAACAAUUCAUCUUAAAGCCUGCAGACUCAGCUACAAGCCAGCAGCAAAAUGUGGAGGAAAGAUUUCAUAAGAAACAAGGGACUGUAUUGACAUCUUGCUUCCACAGGGGCUCUGUGCCCCACCAGGACCAAGAAUGCCCUGCCCCAACAUUUAAUACAGGAAAACUCUUUGGCAAAGAUCUGGGUUCGAUUUGUCAUGAGGGAAAAUGGCCCACAAUAAUUGUGGACAUUCUAUCCCUCAUAGAAGAAAAAGGACCCAAGACUGAGGGCAUAUUCAUGAUAUCUCCAAAUGUGAAAUCAUGCAAAAUCCUAAAGGACAAAUUUGAAUCUGGGGAAGAGGUGGAUAUAAAAAAGUACUCAGUACAUGAAAUCGCCUGGAUCUUAAAGGUUUACAGUUUUGAUAGACAAAACAUACUGGGCCUACAUAUCAGUCAACAUUCUACCUUUGGAAAAGUUUGGGAACUGUGAAGAAAGUUGGAACUAAACUUUGGGGCUGACUAUAUUUUAAGUAAUUUCCAUAAUUUAUUUUCUCUGCAAAAUAUUUUUUCUCUCUCUAUAAGGAGUUUCUUUGAACUCUCAAAGGAAGUCUGCUGACUUCUCAGUUAUAUGACCAGUGGAUUGCUGUACCUGAAAAGGUCAAUGAUAUGCAGAAAUUAGCAGCAGUGCAGAGUCUUACAGAAAAACUCCCAGGACCCAAUGCUGCUCUUCUCCAACAACUUUUUCAAAUCUUACACAAAAUUGCAACAAAUUCUUCCAUUAACCAAAUGCCAUCGUACAUGGAUAGCACCAUGUAUCUUAUGUCUUCCUAGCUAUCAUAAUGAAGUACUGGCAAAUGAUAUUACCAAAAAAGCUAACAUUUUCUCAGAAUUCAGAACUACAUAUUUUUAGCCUCCAAACCACAUAAGUAAAAUGUGUUUGGCAACCAUGCAAAAUGACAGAGACCCUCUGUGUUUACUCCAUUUUGUUCCAGAUUUCUCUGGUAACUUUCAUGAUUGAAAACUCUCCCAAAAUUUUCGGAAUAGACAUGGUUUCAGUUUCAUAUGAAACGUCACUUUUUCAUCCACAAGGAGCAAAGGCCUCAUGUUCCCAAAAUACUCCACCUAACAUCGGGAACAUCCAGGAAACAAAAUAUGGACUCAGCAGCUGUUCCAAUGGGAGGACACGCACGCCUGGUCAUGAUGCACUGGUGAUAAGUACAGCUGCUUCUCUUUCCUAUGAGGGCAUUAUAGAGAAACAAGAAGACAAUGAGUAUACAAACCGACAAACAUCUUCUCAAACUCCUCCAGAAUCAAAAAAAAAAAAAAAACCCAAAUAUUUUGUAUAAUUCCAGCCAUUGUUUGCUCGGACAAGAUGCUACUUCAUAUACUUGUUCAUAUCUGCUCAUAGUAACUGCUAUUUUCCUCAUCAUUCUUAUUGAUUUCAAUUUCGUAAACUGUGUGAAAUGACAGAGAAUCUUGUUUUUACAUUGUGGUGUUACAGAUGUCUAUUAUACAAAUCAUGAUUGACAACUGUGGAGAUAUAUUUGGUGACAAUGACCAUAUAAUUUGUAAUGAUAAUCAGAAAAGGUCAGAUGACAUAN
ensembl:lincRNA Gm6639 predicted gene 6639